UGCGUAGGCGGUUCGUUAUGUCUGUGGUGAAAGCCCUGGGCUCAACCUAGGAAUGGCCAUGGAAACUGGCGGGCUGGAGUAUGGCAGAGGGGGGUGGAAUUCCGCGUGUAGCAGUGAAAUGCGUAGAGAUGCGGAGGAACACCGAUGGCGAAGGCAGCCCCCUGGGCUAAUACUGACGCUGAGGCACGAAAGCGUGGGAGCAAACA
rnacentral:rRNA from 1 species